CAUACACAUACAUAUAUCUAUGUGUGAAUGAAUACACAUGCUUAUAUUCAUAUAUAAUUGCCUACAUAACAAACUCACAUCACACACACACACAUGCACACGCACACAACACACACACACACGCAUACACAUAAUUAAAGCCACACCAAUACACUAAAAUUACACACAUAUGUGCUCAUACAAUUUUAUUGACCAAAUAUAUCUCACUUUAAAUCCAAGCCCAAAACUUGUUAGGAGUGGAUUAGAUGUAGCCGUGUAGCACAUACAUAUUGAUUCCACACUCUUCAUUUGAAUUAGUUUAUCAAACCAGUGGAAGAUCUAACAAGCAAACUGACUCUAACAAGAUUUGAAAUCAGAAUAUAAAGGAUAAAAAAAACAAAAAACAACAACAUUUAACUUGACGCUGCAUUGAUUCGGAGUCGUUGCUGCAUUUGUGGAAAUUAUAUUUUUAAUUAACCAAUUAUGAAUUGCAUUUUCAUUUUACUUUGUCUCCUGCAAAUAGUUUACAGCUUCAUGUAUCAGAAUAAAUUCUCCUACAAAAGCGCAAAAGAUCUACAAACACAGACCAAUACAAUGUCAAAAGGCCCUACGGAUAGGAAUUAUCCAAGCAACACAAGCACAACGGAUUCACAAAUGCAGAAUGAACUAAUGUCAAAUAGUAUGUAUUAAAAUAAUAUAU